AUGCCUUAAACUGAUGAGUAAGGAAAAUAACUACGCGGGGUGACGCCCGUGUCCUCGCUAAUUCUCGCGAGAGAAAUUUUUGAACGGGUACAGGUCCGUCCGCUGAGGUGAUUCGCCUACUUCGCGAGAUGCCUCGCGGGACCAGGAUCUGCCCC